rnacentral:rRNA from 1 species
GAUGAACGCUGGCGGCGUGCCUAAUACAUGCAAGUCGAGCGAACAGACGCGGAGCUUGCUCCUCUGACGUUAGCGGCGGACGGGUGAGUAACACGUGGAUAACCUACCUAUCAGACUGGUAUAACUUCGGGAAACCGGCGCUAAUACCGUAUAAUAUAUUGAACCGCAUGGUUCAAUAGUGAGAUACGGUUUUGCUGUCUCUUCUAGCUGCAUCUCGGCCGCAUUAGCUAGUUGGUAAGGUAACGGCUUACCACGGCAACGAUGCGUAGCCGAACUGAGAGGCGGGUAGGCCACACUGGAACUGGGACACGGACCAGAGUCCUACGGGACGCAGCAGAAGGGAAUCUUCCGCAGUGGGCGAAAGCAUUACAGAGCAACGCCGAGUGAGUGAUGAAGGUCUUCGGAGCGGAAAAAUCGGUUAUGAGUGAAAAACAAAUGUGGAAGUAACUAUGCACGGCGUGACGGUAACUAAUCAGAAAGCAACGGCUAACUACGUG